UACGUAGGUGGCAAGCGUUGUCCGGAAUUAUUGGGCGUAAAGCGCGUGCAGGCGGUUCCUUAAGCCUGAUGUGAAAGCCCACGGCUUAACCGUGGAGGGUCAUUGGAAACUGGGGAACUUGAGCACAGAAGAGGAGAGUGGAAUUCCACGUGUAGCGGUGAAAUGCGUAGAUAUGUGGAGGAACACCAGUGGCGAAGGCGACUCUCUGGUCUGUAACUGACGCUGAGGUGCGAAAGCGUGGGUAGCAAACAGG
rnacentral:misc_RNA from 1 species